GACGAACGCUGGCGGCGUGCCUAAUACAUGCAAGUCGAGCGAAGCGGCUGAUGGGUGAGUCACUAGUGGGUAACCUGCCCUUAAGUCUGGGAUACCUUUUGGAAACAGAUUCCAAUACCGGCUACUCAAGGAUGGCCCUGCGCUGCAUUAGCAAGUUGGUAAGGUAACGGCUAACCAAGGCGAUGAUGCAUAGCCGAGUUGAGAGACUGAUCGGCCACAUUGGGACUGAGACACGGCCCAAACUCCUACGGGAGGCAGCAGUAGGGAAUCUUCCACAAUGGACGAAAGUCUGAUGGAGCAACGCCGCGUGAGUGAAGAAGGUUUUCGGAUCGUAAAGCUCUGUUGUUGGUGAAGCGGUAAUCAACCAGAAAGUCACGGCUAACUACGUGCCAGCCGCCGCGGUAAUAC
rnacentral:rRNA from 1 species